ACAUCCAGCGAACUUGGCAGAGAUGCCUUGGUGCCUUCGGGAACGCUGAGACAGGUGCUGCAUGGCUGUCGUCAGCUCGUGUUGUGAAAUGUUGGUUAAGUCCCGNAACGAGCGCAACCCUUAUCCUUUGUUGCCAGCGAUUCGGUCGGGAACUCAAAGGAGACUGCCGGUGAUAAACCGGAGGAAGGUGGGGAUGACGUCAAGUCAUCAUGGCCCUUACGAGUAGGGCUACACACGUGCUACAAUGGCGCAUACAAAGAGAAGCGACCUCGCGAGAGCAAGCGGACCUCAUAAAGUGCGUCGUAGUCCGGAUCGGAGUCUGCAACUCGACUCCGUGAAGUCGGAAUCGCUAGUAAUCGUGGAUCAGAAUGCCACGGUGAAUACGUUCCCGGGCCUUGUACACACCGCCCGUCACACCAUGGGAGUGGGUUGCAAAAGAAGUAGGUAGCUUAACCUUCGGGAGGGCGCUUACCACUUUGUGAUUCAUGACUGGGGUGAAGUCGUAACAAGGUAAGCGUAGCGAG
rnacentral:rRNA from 1 species